AGUGAACGCUGGCGGUAGGCCUAACACAUGCAAGUCGAACGGCAGCACAGUAAGAGCUUGCUCUUACGGGUGGCGAGUGGCGGACGGGUGAGGAAUACAUCGGAAUCUACUUUUUCGUGGGGGAUAACGUAGGGAAACUUACGCUAAUACCGCAUACGACCUACGGGUGAAAGCAGGGGAUCUUCGGACCUUGCGCGAUUGAAUGAGCCGAUGUCGGAUUAGCUAGUUGGCGGGGUAAAGGCCCACCAAGGCGACGAUCCGUAGCUGGUCUGAGAGGAUGAUCAGCCACCCUGGAACUGAGACACGGUCCAGACUCCUACGGGAGGCCGCCGUGGGGAAUAUUGGACAAUGGGCGCAAGCCUGAUCCAGCCCUACCGCGUGGGUGAAGAAGGCCUUCGGGUUGUAAAGCCCUUUUGUUGGGAAAGAAAAGCAGCAGGUUAAUACCCCGCUGUUCUGACGGUACCCAAAGAAUAAGCACCGGCUAACUUCGUG
rnacentral:rRNA from 1 species